rnacentral:rRNA from 1 species
AUGCUUAAAAUUGAUCUUGCUAAGGCUUUCGAUCGUUUAGAAUGGAGCUUCAUUGUUUCAGCUCUUGCACGUAAAGGAUUGCAUGCUCAUUUCAUAAAUUUGAUUUAUGAGUGCAUUUCUUCUCCUACUUUUUUUGUGGUCAUUAAUGGUAGGCCUUCUCAUAAAUUCAAAAGUUCUAGGGGUAUUCGUCAAGGUUGUCCUAUGUCCCCUUAUUUGUUUGUUAUUGCCAUUAAUGAAUUAUCUCUUGCUCUUAACGAAGCUUUAGCUGCUCAUAGUCUUCAGGAUAUUUUGCUUGGACCAAAUUGCCCUCCGAUUCACUCUCUUUUGUUUGCAGAUGAUUUGUUGGUAUGUGGUCAAGCUACUGUUCAGGAAGUUAAUGCUAUGGCCAACAUUAUCAAUCAUUUUUGU